AUUGAACGCUGGCGGCAGGCCUAACACAUGCAAGUCGAGCGGAUGAAGGGAGCUUGCUCCUGGAUUCAGCGGCGGACGGGUGAGUAAUGCCUAGGAAUCUGCCUGGUAGUGGGGGAUAACGUCCGGAAACGGGCGCUAAUACCGCAUACGUCCUGAGGGAGAAAGUGGGGGAUCUUCGGACCUCACGCUAUCAGAUGAGCCUAGGUCGGAUUAGCUAGUUGGUGGGGUAAAGGCCUACCAAGGCGACGAUCCGUAACUGGUCUGAGAGGAUGAUCAGUCACACUGGAACUGAGACACGGUCCAGACUCCUACGGGAGGCAGCAGUGGGGAAUAUUGGACAAAGGGCGAAGGCCUGAUCCAGCCAUGCCGCGUGUGUGAAGAAGGUCUUCGGAUUGUAAAGCACUUUAAGUUGGGAGGAAGGGCAGUAAGUUAAUACCUUGCUGUUUUGACGUUACCAACAGAAUAAGCACCGGCUAACUUCGUG
rnacentral:rRNA from 1 species